rnacentral:lncRNA from 1 species
CAGCUGCCCGCUUGCCCGUAGCUGACUCAGCUCCCUCAUCUUCAUCUCCAUCCUCUUCCUCACCAUCACCUUCUUCCUCCCCACCUUCUUCCUCUUCUUCAUCUACCUCGUUGUCAGCCUCCGGCUCCCCAUUUUCCUCAUUAGCAUUCCCGUGAGCAGGGGCGUCUCUUCCAUUUUCCGCCUCUUCCACAACUUCCUUCUUCUCCUUUAAGUCCUCGGUGGUGAUUUCGGAGCUGGUGUCUACGGCUGCGUCUGACAUGGUGGGGCACGCCGGUGACGCGAUGCAGGGGAUAAAAAAGAAAGCGACAGUUCAGGGACUCUGGCGAUAAAGCUGCCGGAGUCCGCGGCGGCGGAGGCGGCUGCGGCGAGCAAGGAGGCUGACGACGCACAAUGCAAAGACGGCUUUUCAGAGCAGCCAGUGGGGCAGGACAAUGUUUUUCAUCAAAUGUCCUUAGAUUUGGAGGAGGUUUCUUCUUUUCCAGUUUCCCCAGUGUAUCCAGUGGUUGUCUUCCUCUUGAUUAAUAUUAAAGGAGGAGAAAAAGUGUGUAUUGGGGUCAGUGCAGAAAACAAAUCAUCCAAGCACACGAAGUGGAAUUUGCUAAUAGCAUUACUACUCACCCAGUGACUUCGGAGUCACAACCCAGGACACGGUUUUCCGCCCAUUUCUACAGACACAGUGAGAUUCUUCAUUCUUCUCUGUUGGAACAGCCAGGAAAGCGGAAGAGACCUCCAGCUGCACAACGACCUGUCCCCCACACCCAACCACAAGUUUAUGAAGGGAUGCAGAACAGCAUGAAUACUGCAAAAGAUGCUCUGUGCAUCAGGGUGUGAAGAGGAUACUGACCCACCAGAAAGAGACCCCACUGCUAGAACGAAUAAGAUGUGCUGAAAGCCGGAGCAUAACUUGGCCAUUCCCAAGAUUUAACAACAAACUAACUACCCAUCAUUAACAGUAAAGCAGAAAGAAAACAAUCAGUAAGAGAUUAUAUAGACCUAAGAGAUGUUACAGACCGAAGAAGAACCUAUGGAGGAAGACAGGAAGAUGAGAGAGAUUUGAAGAUGGUAUGUGGCUGAAUUUGAAGAUAGAGAAAGGAACCGCAAGCAAAGAAUGCAAGAGGUCUCUAGAAGCUGGAAAAGGCAAGGAAAGAGUCUCCCCUCAAGCUCCAGCAGGAAUGCAGUCCUGACACCUUGAGUUUAGCCUAGUGAGACUUCUGACCUCCAGAACUAGAAGAUACAAGUGGUGUUUUAAGGCACUAAAACGAAGAACUAGAAGUAUUGUUUUAAGCCCAUAAAUUUGUGAUAAUCUGUUACAGUAGUAAUAGGCAAUGCAUACACAAGCACACAAAGUAAAAUUUUUCUGUGGUUAUUUUCCAUAUUUUUUCAGUUAUUUUCUGCCUUUUGAAGACAUUAAAGACAUAAAAUGAAUAUGUAUUAGUUUAGGAAUAAAAUUUAAAAUGUAGGAAUGCUAUAAAAGAAGAAAAAAUUUUAACUGGGCUAAAGCAAACCCAGUAUGUCAUCCUAUUACAUCAGCUUCUUCAUCUUUGGAUGAAGAGGUUGGUGACUGUUUCUUCUAAUGUGAGAAUAGCUCCAAAUUGCUAAAUUGUUCAGAAUUUGACAAGAUGAAAGAGGAAAGAAAAAGGAAAUCUUGAAAACAUUUACUGUUUCCUUGUUCAAUGGAUAACACAUGGAUUCCUGAUUGGGAGAUUUUUCCUCUUGCUUUGAUCUGAAGGCAGAAGGAAAUAUAUUCAUUAUUGUUUAAAAGAAUACAUUUUAACCUAACUUUAAAACAUUCAUGAUAUAUUUGUGAACCAUAAUCUUAUUACCCCAACCUAGAAGUUAUUUUGAUCACUAAACUUCCUUUUCAAUAUCUUCAUAUAUGUGUCUUUACAUACUUUAAAUAAAAAAUAUAUAAUUGUAUAACGUUUUAUUAUUUUAUUUAAUAUUUAUCACUUCUAAUAAAUAUAUGUAAAUAUGUAAACAGAAUUUAUGUAUUUUUUCAACAAACAUUUCAAACAUCUACCUUAUGCAAAGCAAUAUAUAGUGAAGGCAGAUAUAAAGUAUAAAUAAGUAUUCUCUAAUAUUGCCUCUAUUUUAAAAAAACUAAAUGUAUUGAGCAUUCUCUAUAUGCCAGGAACUGAACUAAGUAAUUUACUGUUAAUUUACACUAUAAUUCCAUGAAGUAGGUAUUAAUAUUAUCUCCAGGACUAAAGUGAGAUGAUUGACAUUUCUCUUUCCAGAUGAAAUUAGGUAAGUUAUCCAAGGUCAUGUAUCUAGGAAGCAAUAAAUCUAGGAAAUUCAAAUUUAUUGUUAAUUUUUCUAUUUUUUUAUGGAAUUAAGAAAAUGUUAUUUAUAGUUAAUGCUCUUAUACAGAAUUCCCUAUAUUUAACUUUUUCUUCUUAAAAUGACUUAUUUGAGUAACUAUGAGCCUUGGACAUUUUCAAUUUGGGGGCAUUCGUGGGAAUAUUGGCCUCAAAAGUAUCACUCCAAUUUAUAGUCUGCCUGUUAAUAUACCUUUUCCUUGCAAUCACACCAGUCAUGAGCUUUGUAAAAUAAUUAGAAUUGAAUAUUUUUCCAGAAGAUUGUUUAUAAGUUUUAUUUCCUUUUGAAUGAGUUCAUGGUUCUUAGCUUUUGCUUCUUUAUCUACUGAGUUCUAAGAAAACAUUUUCUCUUUGACUAAAAACAUUUUAUCCUAGGCUCUUUCCUCUCCUGCUCAAUAAGUUGCCAUUGGAACUCUGCAAGGAAAAAUUCUAAAAGUUUCAGUGGUGAAUAGAGCAUAAAUGAGAAAUUAAAGCAUUAAUAUUUGUUAGGAAGUAACUUCUCUUCUAGCACAAAAACAAUACAAAAUAUAUUAUUGUUAUCUUAUAAAUGGCAUUACUUAGACAGGAACCCAGCAAUUUUGGAGUCUACACAAUCAGAAGGAGCUACAGUGGGUCUUAUUCUUACCAAAUAGUAGAAGGUUAAUUCUUUUUCAUCCCUGAGAAUCUGUUUAUUCAGAAUGUAGUGUGCUUGAAUCUCCUGGGUUUGUCCACAGGUCAAAGUACCAAUAAUAGGUUUGAGGUGAAUAUAACUCUUGCUUGGGGAAAAAAAAUGCUUUGCAGUAUGAGAUGUUUGCGUAUGAAAUUCAUCAAGCCACCAGUUAUCAGAACAAUUGUUACUCUCUUUGUAUUUGACCUAAUGGAAGAAUAAAUAAGCUGUUUUAUAUAUAAUAUAUAUAUGAUUGCAAAAAUAUAUAAAAAUAUGCAUAUUAUAUAUGUUUGUAUAUAUAUACAUAAAGCAAUAUAAUAAAGCCAUAUAAGAAGGCUGCUUUCUUAAAUA